AGGACGGAAGGGGCGUCAGGUCGUUGUACCUCAUUACCAGUAUGGAGAGGGUCUCAUUUAUCAUAAAAUCAAAAAAGUUGAAAAAAGAAACCUCACUCGGUUCGCAAGAACCAUCAAACCCUCUCUGAAGGGUCAUCACCAGC
ensembl:ncRNA F32H2.15 ncRNA